rnacentral:lncRNA from 1 species
AAUAGUUCUUCAACAACUUCAAUUUUGACAAACUUCUUUCGGCCGAAGCUACAGUCACUGGUACAGUUAAAAGAAUUCGAUAGGCAACUAAAACAUUUGGAUAGCAAUCUGCAUUCAUAAUAAACUUAAGAAUCUCAGGCGAUGACAUCAUAGAAUCUGGCAAAGCCACAUGCAACACCUUUAAUUCUUGGGAAAAAAAGUCAUUGAUCUCAACAGUACGUGACGGCCGUGGUAGGCCUUCAAGGUGUAGCACAGGACGUACGAACUGGCCGGAGGCAGAGGACGGUAGCGCCGCCGGAAUCCUCUCCGGAUUCCGAUUGCCCGAAGUGGAAAGGACGCCC